GCCACUAGUGGAAGGAUGGUUUGCUACUGACAUCUAGUAGAAGCUGGAAAUGCUGCUAAACAUCCUGGAAUGUACAGGACUGCACACCACAACAGAGUUACUCAGACCAAAAUGUCAUUACGUGGAGGCUGAGAAAGCUUAGCUCCCAGGUGGGAGUCAGAUGGCAUAUAUAAUAACCAAAACAUUGCCAGGGCUCAGAGUGCAGCCAGUAGCGGUUAGGGCUGAAGCACAGGGCGUUGAUGAUGUCCCCACCAUCUAGCGUGUAAAGGUGUUUGCCUUCGUUGAGAUCCCAUAACAUGGCCUGGCCAU
rnacentral:lncRNA from 10 species